UGGGGGUUGAGUCCAUCAGUAACUGGAGAGAAGGAUGUUGGAUGACAAGAAAGAUUGAACAGAAUAUAAUAUAACAUGAUCUGUAUUGUCUUCAAGAUGGGGAUGCGUGGAGAGACAUUAGAACUCCAAUCAAAAAUCCUCUCUGCAAUGUCUGCAAAAAAUUUAAACGUGGUAUUUGUUACAAAGGUGAAAGUACCUGUCCUUUGUUAAACAAGUAUUGUAGAGCACGUUUAUAUUACCAAGUACAACCUAACGAAUAUAACAUUACACAUUUUGAAUUGGACUGUUCUAAUGACUGCACUUCAUCGACAUCCUCCAAUAGUUCCGUGAAAUAUUGGACCUUUUGCUGUUCAAGACACAAAUGUCUACAGAAUGGCUUUCAGUCCUGGCCACUCCUCUUUGGAUCCAGAAUCAGUCUAUGACUGUGGUCAAAAAACAUUCAUGAAAAUUGGAUGGAAGUCUAUUUGUCCAUAAAUGUCCAUUUAAACAUCUUAGAUUUUUGUACCCUGCUCAUGAUACCUUUCUCCCUAACCUUACAAGUAAAUUUUUUUUCAAUACUGUGUUUCAGCUGACUUAAAUAAAAA